GUAGGGAAUAUUGGGCAAUGGGGGAAACCCUGACCCAGCGACGCCGCGUGAGGGAAGACGGCCUUCGGGUUGUAAACCUCUUUUGUACGGGGAGAAGGAAGUGACGGUACUGUACGAAUAAGUCCCGGCUAACUACGUGCCAGCAGCCGCGGUAAUACGUAGGGGACGAGCGUUGUCCGGAAUUACUGGGCGUAAAGGGCGCGCAGGCUGUGCUGCAAGUCAGCUGUGAAAUGUCUGGGCUUAACCCGGGCAUGCGGUUGAGACUGCAGUGCUGGAGUGCUGUAGAGGCAAGUGGAAUUCCCAGUGUAGCGGUGAAAUGCGUAGAUAUUGGGAAGAACACCGGUGGCGAAGGCGACUUGCUGGGCAGCAACUGACGCUGAGGCGCGAAAGCCAGGGGAGCAAACGGGAUUAGAUACCCUUGUAGUCC
rnacentral:rRNA from 1 species